rnacentral:misc_RNA from 1 species
GAUGAAGAACGCAGCGAAAUGCGAUAAGUAGUGUGAAUUGCAGAAUUCAGUGAAUCAUCGAAUCUUUGAACGCACAUUGCGCCCCUUGGUAUUCCAUGGGGCAUGCCUGUUCGAGCGUCAUUUGUACCUUCAAGCUCUGCUUGGUGUUGGGUGUUUUGUCUCGCCUCUGCGUGUAGACUCGCCUUAAAACAAUUGGCAGCCGGCGUAUUGAUUUCGGAGUGCAGUACAUCUCGCGCUUUGCACUCAUAACGGCGACGUCCAAAAGUACAUUUUUACACUCUUGACCUCGGAUCAGGUAGGGAUACCCGCUGAACUUAAGCAUAUCAAUAAGCGGAGGA